rnacentral:rRNA from 1 species
UACGGAGGAUGCGAGCGUUAUCCGGAUUUAUUGGGUCUAAAGGGUGCGUAGGCGGUCCGGAAAGUCAGCGGUAAAAGCCCGGGGCUCAACCCCGGCGAGCCGUUGAAACUGUCGGACUAGAGACGGCGAGAAGUACGCGGAAUGCGCGAUGUAGCGGUGAAAUGCAUAGAUAUCGCGCAGAACUCCAAUUGCGAAGGCAGCGUACCGGCGCCGGACUGACGCUGAGGCACGAAAGCGUGGGUAUCGAACAGG